UGUUCUUCCGAUCUGUUAAUACUUGGUUUUACAUUGGAUUUUGAGCUGUAAAGGAAAAAUUAUGUAUCAUUUUAACAUAAGAGAAUAAGAAGUCUAGCACAUUAUAUAUACUCAGCCACUUAAAACUUCAUAUAUAUUCUGCAAAUGUUGAUUUCUAAUUACACACAAAAUGUAAAAACACCAAGUCUGAUUUGAUGAAUAAAAUAUUUA